rnacentral:lncRNA from 1 species
GUGGCUUCUCCUGACUUCUCCAUCCCUGGCCCUGCAAUCAAGCAUGGGAGCCAGGAGUCCCAGCGCUUGGCUUUGCUCUCCUGUGUGGACUUCAUUCUUGGGAUCUACAUGAAAGCAAGAUAUCUGCCAGCAUCUCUAGGCCAACAUACUCUGUGGUCGGAGUCCCACAGAAAAGAAGAGAGCUUCUCUUCCCCAGUGCAGCCAGUCAGCAUCCUGGCUGGUUCUCAUUGGCCUGGUUUGGGACCCCUGCUAAGCUCGG